rnacentral:lncRNA from 1 species
CGCACAGUCCCCGCCCCCUAAGGUCCGAUCCCGCCCAACUCCCACCAGGCAGGGUCAGAACCCCGCCUUCCUCUCCAAGCCACAGUCCGGGGUAAUCUGUGGUUCCCAGCGUUGGGGCUGAGCCGAUCCUGGGCUGAUGGGGUCCGGGAAGCACCCACUAUCGCAUCGGCCCCGGUAUUGAGGUGCUACCCCGGAGAAGGGCGGAAGGGGCGGUAGUUGGUAUUAUGCGGGCGCAAGUCUGCAGCGCCCUCUGAGCGUGGACGCGUGGCGCCCUCCAGGUAUGCAGGACUCCCAGAUUACAGUGAGAGCGUUUUCGGGGGCGGGGUGGGGGGAGCGAGGAGAAGAGACCUUAAUCCUCUGGGGAGACACACACACACAAACACACACACACACACACCCCACCUCUCUCCUGGCCGAGGAUGGGACUCCCUGCGCCCGGUCAGCACAGGUGUUUACAAGCAUUCACGUUAUCCCAACAUCCACAAAGUACUGAACACUCUUAGGGCUGUUUUUUAAAAAGGAGUUUUCAGCGUCUUUCUAUAGAAGACAAUGCCCUCUCUGUUCGUACUCCGAAC